UGGGGAAUAUUGCACAAUGGGCGCAAGCCUGAUGCAGCCAUGCCGCGUGUAUGAAGAAAGCCUUCGGGUUGUAAAGUACUUUCAGCGGGGAGGAAGGGAGUAAAGUUAAUACCUUUGCUCAUUGACGUUACCCGCAGAAGAAGCACCGGCUAACUCCGUGCCAGCAGCCGCGGUAAUACGGAGGGUGCAAGCGUUAAUCGGAAUUACUGGGCGUAAAGCGCACGCAGGCGGUUUGUUAAGUCAGAUGUGAAAUCCCCGGGCUCAACCUGGGAACUGCAUCUGAUACUGGCAAGCUUGAGUCUCGUAGAGGGGGGUAGAAUUCCAGGUGUAGCGGUGAAAUGCGUAGAGAUCUGGAGGAAUACCGGUGGCGAAGGCGGCCCCCUGGACGAAGACUGACGCUCAGGUGCGAAAGCGUGGGGAGCAAACAGG
rnacentral:rRNA from 1 species